rnacentral:rRNA from 1 species
AGAGUUUGAUCCUGGCUCAGGAUGAACGCUGGCGGCGUGCCUAAAACAUGCAAGUCGUGCGGUAACAGAAAGAGCUUGCUCUUUGCUGACGAGCGGCGGACGGCUGAGUAACGCGUAGGAACCUACCCCAAACUGAGGGAUAAGCACCAGAAAUGGUGUCUAAUACCGCAUGUGCUCUAAGGAGUAAAGCUUCGGCGGUU